rnacentral:rRNA from 1 species
CGGGUGCGUAACGCGUAUACAAUCUACCUUUUGCUGAGGAAUAGCCCAGAGAAAUUUGGAUUAAUGCCUCAUAGUAUGCAGAGUUCACAUGAACAUUGUAUUAAAGGUUACGGCAGAAGAUGAGUAUGCGUCCUAUUAGCUAGAUGGUAAGGUAACGGCUUACCAUGGCAACGAUAGGUAGGGGCCCUGAGAGGGGGAUCCCCCACACUGGUACUGAGACACGGACCAG